AUGGCUGAGCUAGAUUUAUCUGAAGAGGCCAAUGUGAAAUCAAGUAGCUCUGAAAUACAGCCAGGACAGAAGGCAUCAAGGCUUAUCCAACCCCAAACCCCUGAGAUCAAGGAGACUGAAGUUCAAAAAGAUGAUAAAGAGAAGCAACAUGAAGUCACUGAUGCAGAAACAUCAAGCCAAAUGGAUGUUCACACUGGAGAAGGCACUGAGUCAGGGUCUGUAGUUCACCAACACGAUGUCCCAGUGUUGGAGAGCCAUGAUGAGGUUGACAAAAACACCACUGAAGCGGCUUCAAAUAAAGCAAAAUCCCUUCAAAAGCCUCCUAAAGUAGCUAAAGGUAGAAACAAGAACAGAAAACCAGCUGGUGUAAAAAAAGCAAACAAUGUCAGUAAUAAAAAGCACAACGCAUGUAAAUCUGAACAUAAGAACACAACUGACUCAGAAAGCCUUCCAACAUCUGAAGUCAGGUUGCCGGACACCAUAGACACUUCACUGACUGUGUCUUCAGACUUUAGUCAGCCAAACACUGCAAAGCCAUUGGGCACACAAGACAAACUAACAGUGGACACUGUGCAGAAAGAGACCUUGAAUCAAACUGAGACAGUGGAUGGACAUUUUGAAAAUGCUAGCUUCUCACUAGCCGGAGAUGACCAUGUUAGUACCACAGAUAGUGUGCUUUUAGCAGCAGUGGAGUCUGUGCAGUCAACACAUACAGGGGACUCCGAAUUAACCCCAACGGAUUCUUCAUCUAUUGUGACAGCUGACUGUAAAACACGAAUUCUUACCGCAGUCCUAUCAGAGUCACAGCUCGGCCAAGCUGAAGCUCGGAGGACAGAGGAUUCAGAUGGCACUUUCCCUUUGCAAUAUGAAGAAAUGCACAGAUUCAAUUCACAUCCAUCUGCCAGGAAUAAAAUGCCCCAAAACAGAGGAUCAGUACCAGACGGUGAGGAUAAAACGAGGCCUAUGGAGCAGCCUACUGGGACACAUGUGUGGGCCGUUUUACUGAACACCAUCACUAAUGUUCAGCCACUACUGGUGACCAGUCACAGUUCUGAGGAAUCUAGAUCAAGGAAAGAUUCCUUGUUUCAGAAUUCAUCGCUCUUCGAGUCUGAGAGCAGUCUGGCAUGGGCUGUCCUGUGGGUGUUCAGAUGUCGGUACCAACCGGCCAAACUCAGCAUUGCACAUAUGACUCAUCAGCUGGAAGAAGCUGAGAUCUGCCGGCAGUAUGUCUUAGAGAAGGUGGCUAGACUGCCUCAAAGUGAAUCUAGUGCAGGAUGCUCUACAAAGCCUGAGCAGACCAUAGAGGGCAGAUGGAAUACAGUACUGAUGGAAACCUCAACUAUGGUGGAGUACAAAAAGACACAGCUCCAGCAGGUCACACAGUACCACCAGCAAAAACAGGCUCUCGCAGAUACUUUACACAACCUGAACAAUGAGCUCAGCGCACUAACACAGUGAGCAUCCUUGACUUCUUCUGUGUGUGUGUCUCUGUGUGUGUGUGUGUUCAGGUAAACCCUACAAAAUUCUUGUCCUUGUAGGGACAGUUUUUGGUCUCCAUGAGGAAAACAGCUUAUCAGUUAUACUAAACGAAGGGUUUUUUUUUUCUACUGAAAGUUUGAUGUGAGGGGUUGGUUUAGGGGUAGGGCAAGGGUAUAGAAAAUACAAUUUAUAGAGUAUAAAAUCGUUACACCCAUGGAAUGUCCCCAUUAAACACAGAAACUCAAUGUGUGUGAGUGUGUCAAUUAAUCUUUACCAUAGGUGAGAUGAUUCUAAAAUGUGUUUACCUUUAUCUGUGCCUUAGUGUUCAUACUUUAAUUGAAAAUAAAUCAAUUUGUAAUAUAAUUAAUAUUCUUCAAAUGUUGAAAAGUAACCAAAUUCUCACAUUUUUUGAAGGGAUUGCAUUGAAAGCAGCACCUUGCAAGUGGAGAAGC
rnacentral:lncRNA from 1 species